CAACUGCAUGUGAUGUCCUGGGCCAUGGGUGAAUCCUUUGAACUUAAUGCAGAGAAUGUCUUCGUAAAGCCUCUGUGUUGCUCCUCGGGGAGAUGCAGCAUCCUACAGUCACCAUGGGGUAACAUUGGUUUUGGUAAGGUUCUCUUCCUCUUCUUCCUUGACCACUCCCAGGAAUUAAACUUCACUAAUUCUUGCUGAUUGCUCUAUUGUUUUCAACAGUUCUCUGGUUUAUAAAUAGUUCUACAAUGUAAUUCAAUCAAAUUCUGGCUCUUUUGAAGGAAUAGUUUCUGACGUCAGUGUUUGAUAUUUGUUCUAAUCCCCAGAGGGCUCCUCUAAGCUGUUUUAUUCCAUGGUUUUCCUGAAAACUAGGCAGCCUUCAGUUUGUCCUGCAUUCCAAAUCCCAGUUGGACUGUCCUCCCAGUUGACUUCUGUCACAAUCUCCAAUGUUCUUGAGAGCACCCUUAGGGUUGAAUGUCUCCGCUAUCUGUUGGAGAUGAAGUCAGCUCCUUUGUAAAAGGAUUAAGAGUUUCCUGUUUUACAGCUUGCUUCUCACAUCAGGCAAAAUCUCUAAGCCAAAGCUCUGGAGUUGCAAGUGGGAACAAUGGCAAACUUCUCUUUCAGUGAGCUCUAGAAGCUGAGUGCUUGAUAGAGGAUUGAGAGAAGCAGACUGAGGUCCUCUUGUCUUGCCUCUCCUGGUAAGGCAUGGAACCAUCACCUUUCCAGAUUGAGCAAGGGUGCUAAGGGGCCCAGUAUUCUCAAUGUGAUGAGUUCAAGGUAGAGCCUCUGUCCCAGUGGAAGAGGAGAGCCCCUGCCUCUCAACUGCACUAGCCCAGUGCUUAGCUUCAACAAUAGGUAGCUGAGGACAGGAUGAGAAACAGUGAUGUCUUGCUCUUUACAGGAAGGGGGCCCUCCAAGUGGAAGUUGAGGAAGGGGGAUAAGUUGGAGAGGGGGCCUGUGUUCUUGAUUAUAGCAGUCUGGAGUGAAGUCUGUCUUGCUGAGCUGGGAAGGGGGUGGGAGCAAGUGGUCUUGGUUUACAUACCACAGACGCUUUCCUUUCUUACAGAAUUUUCAGAUUUCCUUUGAUAUAUGUUUCUUCAUUUGCUGUUGGCCCUUAGGACUAUCUCCAUAGGCUUUAAGUGAUUUUUAAAAAUAUUUUUUAUCAGUUUCAUAUGAGAGCAGGCCAGUGGAGCUCCUCAUACUGUCAAGCCAGAAGUACUAUUCUUUCUUUUUAGAGACACAGUCAUGCUCUGUUGCCCAGGCUGGAGUGCAGUGGCACGAUCUCGGCUCACUGCAACCUCCACCUCCCGGGUUCAAGCAUUUCUCCUGUCUCGGCCUCCCGAGUAGCUGGCAUUACAGGCGUGAGCCACCAUGCCCAGCCAGAAGUACUAUUAUUUCUUAUAACUACAUAUGAAUCUAAAAUUAUCACAAAAGGAAACUUCUUUUAAGAAAAAGAAAAGAAUCAGAACAUAAAUAUACAGCAUGGCAAAACUACAUCUAAAACAAGUAUUAUAGGUCUCAUGGUGGAAAAAUUGGACCCACAAGAAAAGUUGUUAAUUAUCUCUGAUAUUCUGAACCAUUGAUAUCUGCAAAAUGAUUACUAGGUAUGUGCAAUGAAGGCUAUUGAUGUUACCCUGUAUAUCUGCACACUGUGUACAAAUGCUGUUAAAUGAUGUAAUAAAAAAUUAAAAAGGAAAUUAAUGAAUUCAUAUUUAAUAAAUUUUAAAAAUGGAGAAGGUAAGACUUUCUUACAGAAAAG
rnacentral:lncRNA from 1 species